UACGAAGGGGCUAGCGUUGUUCGGAAUCACUGGGCGUAAAGGGCGCGUAGGCGGCUUUAUAAGUCGGGGGUGAAAGCCUGUGGCUCAACCACAGAAUUGCCUUCGAUACUGUAGAGCUUGAGACCGGAAGAGGUAAGUGGAACUGCGAGUGUAGAGGUGAAAUUCGUAGAUAUUCGCAAGAACACCAGUGGCGAAGGCGGACUUACUGGUCCGGUUCUGACGCUGAGGCACGAAGGUCAGGGGAGCAAACGGG
rnacentral:rRNA from 1 species